CUUUAUUGACAUGGAUGAAUAAUAAUAUCACUUCAGUCAUGAUUCUAGAUCAAUCAUUAAGUCGUGUAAACCUUCAGAGAAGAUCACCAAGCAUGCCUUACCUAUACCUCAGAAGAGGCCUACAGCUGAAGCCAUUAUCUAAUACCUUGCUGAUUUGGGCUCUACUAGACAAUCCUGUACUAAAUGUCACAGAGAACCCCUACAGAGAAGAGAUUAACAGAAUUACAAAACCUGAUUUUGAACUCCUAAUACAGGAUCCACAACCUAUCUCUUAAUUAUUACAACCUCUACCUAACUACAUGGAUGAGCAACAGCAGGAGAAAUCAAGGGAGUAAAAAUUAUUGCCCCUGAUAUUAAUAAAUACAUAAAGCUGGGAAGAAGCCA
rnacentral:lncRNA from 1 species